GGGUAAGCUUCCACGAGUCAAAGUUCUACAAAAGACACUAAAAAUAAGAAACAUUAAACUCAAAGAACAAGAAUUAAACAGCAUCUUCACCAAUAAGAUUAGUUAAAAUAGAAAAGACUGAUAAACCCAGUGCCAGUCAGGAUGUGAAAAAAAAUAAGCGUAGCUUGGCCCCAUGCCAUGGGAUGGCAAUCUGACAAUGUCAGUCAAACUCCAAAGUGCUCUGACUCAGCAAUUCUACCUUCAGGUAGGAAUUUAUCUUUCAGACACAUUCUUAGGAAAGCAUAAAGAUACCUACACAAGUGUGUUCAUUUCCGCCUCAUUUGCAACAACCAAAAGACUGGAAGCAAGCCAAAUGUCCAUCAGAAAAGUUUUGCCAGGUUGUGGUAUACCCUGGUAAAUGUGUUUUAUGCAGCCUUUAAAACAGAGGGAGAUCUAUUUGUAGCAAAAUGGCAAGAUUCAACCUGAGAAAACUGAUUGGGAAAAAAAAAACAAAGAAAAAGAACAAAAUGGCAAGAAAUGUUACCAAAAGAAAAUAACUAGUUACAAAACAUUAUAUAUAGCAUGUUGCAAUUCAUACAAAACACACAGACAUACAUACACGCAUAGGCACCACACACAUGCACACAGAAGUGUUUACAUACACAUAAAGAUUCUGAGAGCAGGCACAAAAGCCUAUUUACAGUGGUUACAUCUGGGGAAUGAGCUGAAGGGGCUG
rnacentral:lncRNA from 1 species